AAAUAUCAAAACGGUUCCAACUCCGGUGGCAAAUCUGUUGAGCAAUUACUUUCUAUCCGUGCGUAGUUAGCGAAAUCCAAGAGUAUUGCUGCGUUCGUAUCAUAAAGGGCUUCAUCUUGGUGCUUUCAAUUUAAUUGUCGAUCUGACCUCCGAUUCGACGUUAGUCGACGAUUUUCUUCUCGGCUCCAACGAGAUCAUCUUCUCCGAUAACAUUCCGUUCGUGGAGUCCGAGGAAGUUGCUGGAGACCCAGAGCAGCAACUGUUUGGUGAAGGCAAGUGUCCUCUGACUUAUUAUGUCCUAUUUACUUUAUAAUUUACUCUCCCGCAUAACAUGAUUAACAUAAGGAUUGACUAGCUUUCUAUUUAUCCUCUCCUUGAUUACCUUUUUGGUUGGGCUAUUAUGAUCAACUACAUGCUAGUGCUUUACCCUAAUCAACGAACAUGAUGAGAAUUACUUUAUGAUACAUUGUUUUUAUUCUGGAUAUGAUGAGUUAUGUUAUUGUAAUUUUUCUGCUUUAUCCCUGAUGCAUGUUUAUGAAAUGUGAUUAUUGAAAUGUCCAUGAUAUGGGUUGUGUUCGAUCAAUUGGGGAAGUUAAGUUCAGGUUCUAUGGAACUCAACAGACCUUGUUAAGUUAUCUGGUACACAUGCAUAACUAUGUGAGGUCAUUAAGACAAAGAUUGGUGUUGGGGGCCUCUUAUGCUGAAGAUCACUUAUUAGCAAAGAUCAUCUAUCUAACACAUAUUGCUUCUGCAUUAACAAGUAUAUUUCAGGAAUGUUCCCACUAACGGACGAAGCUAAGCUUCGGCUAAAGCGGUGUACAAAGGCACUUCGUCUAUGCAUAAGUAACAGAGAUGAUGGCCGAAGGCAGCAGCUUCGGGCGCAGGCCAAAAGGGGGAGGCUAUUGGACGACGAAGGUUGGAACCUACGGAACUAAAACUGAGAAAAUACAUUACUAUCCUGAUGUCACUUGUAAAUGACUUAUGUUAAAAUGGAUGCGCAUUAUUGUAAAUAUAUAUUAAGGCGGUUCAUCUCCUUAUAAAUA